CAAGAAUAUUAGUCAAUGCUCGCAAGAGUGAACUAGCUAACUGAAAUCAAUCUACAUAUAUAUUUUGAUUGAUAACGUAAGGGAAAAUAAUGAUUUAACCUUACUAUUAGUGUCGUCCAAAACUGGUGCCAGAAGACUCGGUAAGGCCAGAGACGCAAACGUUAGUCGUCUUAAACAGGCGUAAAGGGUUUGUAGGCUGCUUUGAAAUUUUCAUAUUUUAUAUAGCACUUAUUAAUUAAAAAAAAUAAGAUUAAAAUAUGGAAAGAAUUAAAGCUUGAAUCAAAUAGAGGUUAUAGUAUAUAAUGCUUAAAGUAGGUCUGAUAUCCGUAGAUAUUGAGUGGAAUAUUAAAAGCGAAAGCUUAUUCUCCAAGUAAUGAUUGACGCUGAGAAACGAAGGUGAGGAUAGGAAAUAGGAUUAGAUACCCAAAAUACCCCUCUCUGUCAACGAUGAAUGGUGGUUACUAGUACAUAAUAAGUAUUGGUGGCUAUGUUAACACGUUAACCAUUCCGCCUUGUGAGUACGACUGCAAAGUUGAAAACAAAAAAAUUAGUCGGUUUCGGAGCAAACGAAGUGAAGCAUGUUAUUAAAUUCGAUAA
rnacentral:rRNA from 1 species